rnacentral:rRNA from 1 species
UACGGGGGGGCGAAGCGUUGUUCGGAAUUACUGGGCGUAAAGGGCGCGUAGGCGGCCUGCUAAGUCACACGUGAAAUCCCUCGGCUCAACCGGGGAACUGCGUGUGAUACUGGAUGGACUUGAGUUCGGGAGAGGAUGCGGAAUUCCAGGUGUAGCGGAUGAAAUGCGUAGAUAGUCUGGAGGAACACCGGUGGCGAAGGCGGCAUCCUGGACCGACACUGAC